CAAUAGCGUAUAUUAAAGUUGUUGCAGUUAAAAAGCUCGUAGUUGGAUUUCUGGUAGGAGCGACCGUGCCGAACUUGAUUGUUCGAGUAUUGUGUUGUCUUCAGCCAUCCUCGUGGAGAACUUUUCUAACAUUAACUUGUUGGGAUUGGGACCCGCGUCGUUUACUGUGAAAAAAUUAGAGUGUUUAAAGCAGGCAUUAGCUUGAAUACAUUAGCAUGGAAUAAUAAGAUAGGACUUUGGUACUAUUUUGUUGGUUUGCAUACCAAAUUAAUGAUCAACAGGAACAGUUUGAGGAUAUUCGUAUGAACAUGUCAGAGGUGAGAUUCUUGGAUUUUGAUCAGACGAACUACUGCGAAAGCAUUUAUCAAGGAUGUUUUCAUUAA
rnacentral:rRNA from 1 species